UAGGGAAUCUUCGGCAAUGGACGAAAGUCUGACCGAGCAACGCCGCGUGAGUGAAGAAGGUUUUCGGAUCGUAAAACUCUGUUGUUAGAGAAGAACAAGGACGUUAGUAACUGAACGUCCCCUGACGGUAUCUAACCAGAAAGCCACGGCUAACUACGUGCCAGCAGCCGCGGUAAUACGUAGGUGGCAAGCGUUGUCCGGAUUUAUUGGGCGUAAAGCGAGCGCAGGCGGUUUCUUAAGUCUGAUGUGAAAGCCCCCGGCUCAACCGGGGAGGGUCAUUGGAAACUGGGAGACUUGAGUGCAGAAGAGGAGGGUGGAAUUCCAUGUGUAGCGGUGAAAUGCGUAGAUAUAUGGAGGAACACCAGUGGCGAAGGCGGCUCACUGGUCUGUAACUGACGCUGGGGCUCGAAAGCGUGGGGAGCAAACAGG
rnacentral:rRNA from 1 species